rnacentral:rRNA from 1 species
GCGCACCAGGCGCGAAACUUCACAAUGUGCGAAAGCACGAUGAGGGAAUCCCAAGUGCUUGCACGUAAGUGUAAGCUGUUUCUCUGUCUAAAACGCAGAGAGAGUAAGGGCUGGGUAAGACGGGUGCCAGCCGCCGCGGUAAUACCUGCAGCUCGAGUGGUGACCGUUAUUAUUGGGCCUAAAACGUCCGUAGCCGGUUUAAUAAAUGCCUGGGUAAAUCGGACCGCUUAACGGUUCGAAUUCCGGGUAGACUGUUAAACUUGAGACCGGGAGAAGUUAGAGGUACUCCUGGGGUAGAGGUGAAAUUCUGUAAUCCUAGGGGGACCACCAGUGGCGAAGGCGUCUAACUAGAACGGGUCUGACGGUGAGGGACGAAGCCCUGGGGCGCAAAACGGGGAUUAGAUACCCGCGUAGU